rnacentral:lncRNA from 1 species
AUCUAUUUUACUAGAGAAAUCACCUUCCAAUGUGGCAGAAUCUAUUAGAAAGCACAAAAGAUAUUUCAAAGAGAUUUUUUUUCUUUUUUGAGGAAGGUUAGCCCUGAGCUGACAUCUGCCACCAAUCCUCCUCUUUUUUGCUGAGGAAGACUGGCCCUGAGCUACCAUCCAUGCCCAUCCUCCUCUACUUUAUAUGUGGGACGCCCGCCACAGCAUGGCUUGACAAGUGGUGCAUAGGUCCGCACCUGGGAUCUGAACCUGCGAACCCCAGGCCACCGAAGUGGAACGUGUGAACUUAACCACUGCACCACUGGACCAGCCCGCAAAGAGUUUUAAAUAAGAUGAGAAAAGUGUCCUCUCUUCACACUUGACUCCUCAGGGAGAAAGGAUGUGUGUGCCAGCUCAAGAGGACGUGAAGGUAUUUGAAUCUAGACGAACGGCUCCAGUCAUCCAGAAACAGCUCCCUUUAGUGGCCAAUUCAGUGCGUAACUAAUUAACCAGAACUGGUGGGAAUUAAUCUGGAAUUUCCCAAGGACUGGGUGGAGUGUUUUAGGAGACAGAGUGGUAAAGGGAAAAGAGCACUGCGCUGAGGCCUAAAGGAGAUGGUUCUGAAGUGGGCUCGGUGAGCUGAGGCGUCAAAAGAAAGAUUUCUUGGACUCUCAAUGUCUAGUAGUAGUGCUCCUUGAUUCAGGGAAUAGCAUGGGGACAGGACCCAUGGGCAGCGAAGAGCUGCAAAGUGUUGAGGGUAGGGCUAAAUUUACAAGGUAUACGUAUGUGAGUUAUUUCUUAACAAGACGAAGGAAAGAUCAUGUAAAAAAAGUCAAUAAAAUGGUACCAGUGCAGGUGUGGUCUGGUUAUUGGGUGAUCAUAUAACUUUGGGUACAAAUCAGGUUGAAUCAGGUCAGGAAAUCGUAUACUUCCUGGAGGCUGAUAGAGAUUUGCACGUAGGCCAGGGGCCUUGGACUUUUCUCCCUGGGGAAGCCUUGAUCCACAACAGUUCUAAAAGCCACACAUCCCUCAGUUUUCUGAGUCUGAGAUUUCUGUUUGCCUGUUUCUCUGCUACCUCCUCGGGUGGGAGUAAGGACCAAAUGAGACGGAUGUGGAAGUGCUUGGCCUAUGCAGACAUGAAGCAUUAGUAUUAGUACGUAAUAAGAGUAAGAGUACAGACACCAUUUUCUCAUUCAAAGGACUGAAGUUUGGAGAGUAAAAGAAAUCACCCUGGAUUUCUGGCUGCUCCCACUUUUGAGCUCCUAGGAGGCAUUCUGACCUAAAAAGAAUAGACUCUGGAGUCAGAUGUGGAUGCAAACACUGUCCUGGUGGCCUUUGCACAUCACUUCUCUGCGUUAUGCUUCUGUUAUGUUAUCGGCAAUGUGAGAACAGUGUGGAUGCAAUAAAUUACACCUUUGAAGUUUUUCACAGAGAUCAGAGUUAGAAGAAGUACUCAAUGAUGCAGGGUCAGUGAGCCGAGGAGUCGAAAGAAAGAUUUCUUAGACUCUUAAGAUCUGGCAGUAGUGCUCUUUUAUUUAGAGAAUAGUAUGGAAUAGCAUGGGGACAGGACCCAUGGGCAGUCAGAGCUUCUGCUGCCCCAAGUUGAGGGUUAGAGCUAAAUUUAAGGCAUAGGUAUGUGAGUUAUCUCUUUACAAGACAAAAAAAAGUUAAAAUGGUACCAGUGCCGGAAGGGUCCGGCCAUUGGGCGGUCCCACAACUUUUAGAUAAGAAUCAAACCAGAUUGAGUAAAUGGCAGAAGUCAGUGGUUAAAUAUUAUCUUCAGCUAAAGACAAAGGAGGAUUUUGGGGUGGGGGGCCAGUUACAUGAGGUUGCCAGAUGGUAAACAACUUAAGUCCUUGCCUUCCCCAUUAAGAGUUUCCAGAGAUAAGGCCAUCCCCCUUCUUCCUGGCACUGAGAGGAGGCAUCUUUACAGAUAGAGGUUUCCCUUAGAUAUGUAAAUGUUUCCAACAAAGGGGCAAGCAAAUUCCACUCCUCGGAGCCUGCUUCUCAUCUGCAGUUUUAAAAUUAACCAGCCUAAAAAUCCUCAUCACUCAUUAUCCAAGGAUAGAUGGUAUUAGCAAAGGUGUACAGUGAAUUAACCCUUUUAUAAUAAGGAGCAAAUUUCAAGGUAAAUAAUGAAAAUAAUUAUCUUAAAGUUAACAGCAUUUAUAAGAUUAAUUGCAAUGAUACACUAAUUUUUGUCUAAAGAUUGUUGGGGAGCUGAUUUGGCAUGGAGAGAACACAUAUUUUCUUGCAUAAAAUGGUAGGAUGGCACAAUGCAAUAUGCUUUAGUUCGUCUUACCCUGUGCAACACAAUCAAAGGAAGAGCAUUUUUCCAGAAAAAAAAUCAAGGACUUUUUAAUCAAUCUUCCAAAGGGAUUUUUAAAAUUCUUUGAUAUUUAAGUUAGCACCUUUUGGAAGCAUUUAUUGUGUCAUCAUCGUUACCCAUUUCUCUUCUUUAAUGUUAAUUUAUCUG